GGUCGGGCCCUGCGCAACGGGGCGCCGCAAACCGGGUCAGGGCCUGACGGCAGCAGCCCUCAGCGGACAGCGCCGUGUGCCGUAGGAAGCCUGACCGCC
rnacentral:SRP_RNA from 1 species